rnacentral:rRNA from 1 species
GGCCUCUUGGAUUUUAAUAAGAGGUUUGACCUGCCCAGUGAAAAUUUAACGGCCGCGGUACUCUGACCGUGCAAAGGUAGCAUAAUCAUUAGUCUUUUAAAAGGAGGCUGGAAUGAAGGGUUUGACGAGGAAUUGACUGUCUCAUUUUUUUUGAAUUUAAAAUUUAACUUUUUAGUCAAAAGGCUAAAAUUUUAUUGGUAGACGAGAAGACCCUAUAGAGCUUUAUAUUUAUUUGAUUAUUUAUAUUAUAUUAUUUAUUAUUAUUUUAGGUAAAUAUUUUGUUGGGGUGACAAAAAUAUAUAAUUAACUUUUUUAUUUUAAUUACAUUGAUUUAUGAAUAAGAGAUCCAUUAUUAUUGAUUGUUAGAUUAAGUUACCUUAGGGAUAACAGCGUAAUCCUCUUCCAGAGUUCAUAUUUACGGGAGGGCUUGCGACCUCGAUGUUGGAUUAAGAUAAUAUUUAGGUGUAGCCGCUUAAGUAAUAGGUCUGUUCGACCUUUAAAUUCUU